UCUCCGUACAUCGAAUUUAAAGUGAGGUUGUAGUAGAGCUACACUUUUUGCAGGCGUUAUCUCCCUUGACCUUAAUUCCGCAGGCUACUGUGAUGAUGACAACAAUCAGUCGUGCAGUGUUGGCGAUUUCUUAACGUCGCCGUUGUGCUCACAUUCUUCUUGGAAUGAUUCAACAGUAGAGUUUUACAUGCGAAACAUACGAUGAGUUACAAAAGAGAAGACAAUUCGGCCCGUCUAUUUGGUAGGUAGUAGUUAAUUUAGUGAUUUAUUGACCCGAGGAUAUCAUCCCCUUUCUUGAAAGAAGACAGGGUACCGGGUUAAAAAAUAAUACUGGACAGAUUAUACCAUUAUCCAUAAGGGAUACGUGGUUUAUGUUUUGUGUAUCGAAGCUUGCUUGUGAUAAUGGUUCUUGCGUUGCUGUUACUACAGUCCGCUGCUAUUGACAAACUUAUUUCUCACCAGUAGAUGGCAGAAGUGUACACCUCCAUGAACCGAUUGCGCGCUGAAAUGUGACGUACUGCGUUUCAAAGUGAAAGCUUGGUCGUGAAGAUAAUACAGGACCAGGGAUGUCUUUUAUCUGAGCCUCCUAGUGCAGAUCCUGCUGAGUUUCAUCCAUCCGUUUCCUAACUGCUGUAUCCACUGAGGAGUCACAGGGGACCCGGAACCUAUCUCAGGGGCAAGAUGGGAGCUUCGUGUCUGCACAUGCAUUCCCCGUGUAAUUCAUUCAGUGUCAACACAGGACAGCUUUCACACACACAGGUAAAUCAGAGCUGAAAGGGAUCAUCAAGUGCUUUUUCAGUGAAAAAGAGAAAGUCUUCCUAAUGAACAUGUGUAUGCAUAGAGGUCCUGUUCUGCUUUUUUCUUCCAUUGUACUUAAUGGUGAAAUUGAAGUACAAGGAUUUACAUGAAUACAUGCCACUUUAAUUAAAAUGUGUUUUCUUUGAAAGAGUGAUACUUAUGAGCCCUCCAAAACAUCCACUGCAUCAUUUAAGAGAUCUAAGUAAAUGAAUCAUUUAGGAUUCAACUCUGGUGACAUUUCAAAGUUGGCUUCACUUUGUGGGUGACAUUACAUGCUGGUCUACAAUUUGAUACUUUAGGCAGAGCAGGGGUUAUAGUGGCAGUCUCAUCUGAACUAUAACAGUACAGUGUACCUGAAGAAACAUAUUGGCUCAUCAGCGAAUAAAAAGGAGCCUUCAUUUUCUUCCUGCGGUGUUUGCUUCAUGUAGAUCAGUUUUUAGACGGUAACUGUUAAUGUAAGCCGUCAAAACUGAAUUCCCCUCUUGAGAAAAUAA